UGAGAGAGGAAGGGGGAGGAGGGGGGACGGGGAUGGGGGAAGCGAGGGGUGAGUCGGAGAGAACAAAGGAGGCAAGCGGGAGGUCAUAUCGCUGCAGGAUGAUCCACUCCGGACUUUUAGUCCAGGAUGAUCCACUCCGGGCUUUCAAUCCAGGGCGAUCCGCUCCGGGCUUUCACUCCAGGGCGAUCCGCUCCGGACUUUCACUCCAGGGUGAUCCACUCCGGGCUUUCACUCCAGGACGAUCUGCUCCGGGCUUUUACCCAGCGUGAUGGCCUCCGUGAUCCUUGCCACCCCACGGCGGCUCCAUUCGAGCGGCAGGGAGCGAUGGGGGGGGUGAAGAGAACCGCAGCGUUCCUGCAAAUUCCAUGCUCACUCCACUGCUGGUGGAAGCGCUCCCACUCGAGGAAGC